rnacentral:rRNA from 1 species
GAUGAACGCUGGCUACAGGCUUAACACAUGCAAGUCGAGGGGAAACGACGGGGAAGCUUGCUUCCCCGGGCGUCGACCGGCGCACGGGUGAGUAACGCGUAUCCCACCUGCCUCUGACUGAGGGAUAACCCGUCGAAAGUCGGCCUAAUACCUCAUGGUAUCGUCUGCGGGCGUCCAACGACGAUUAAAGAUUUCAUCGGUCAGGGGUGGGGAUGCGUCUGAUUAGCUUGUUGGCGGGGUAACGGCCCACCAAGGCUACGAUCAGUAGGGGUUCUGAGAGGAAGGGCCCCCAGAGGGGAACCGAGAAACGGUCCAAACACCUACGGGAGGCAGAAGUGAGGAAGAUUGGUGAAGGGGCGAGAGCCUGAACCAGCCAAGUAGGGUGCAGGAAGACGGCCCGAUGGGUUGUAAACUGCUUUUAGGCGGGGAUAAAGUGAGGGACGGGUCCCUAAUUGAAGGUACCGCAUGAAUAAGGACCGGCUAAUUCCGUG